rnacentral:piRNA from 1 species
UGUGCAGUUAACACAAUUAUCACAGGGUCC